GACAGAGGGUGCAAACGUUGUUCGGAAUUACUGGGCGUAAAGCGAGUGUAGGCGGUUUGGUAAGUCGGAUGUGAAAGCCCCGGGCUCAACCCGGGAAGUGCACUCGAUACUGCCAAGCUAGAGUAUCGGAGAGGUUGGUGGAAUUCUCGGUGUAGAGGUGAAAUUCGUAGAUAUCGAGAGGAACACCGGUGGCGAAGGCGGCAUCCUGGACCAACACUGACGCUGAGGAGCGAAAGCCAGGGGAGCAAACGGG
rnacentral:rRNA from 1 species